rnacentral:rRNA from 1 species
GACGAACGCUGGCGGCGCGCCUAACACAUGCAAGUCGAACGAGCGAGAGAGAGCUUGCUUUCUUGAGCGAGUGGCGAACGGGUGAGUAACGCGUGAGGAACCUGCCUCAAAGAGGGGGACAACAGUUGGAAACGACUGCUAACACCGCAUAAGCCCACGACCCGGCAUCGGGUUGAGGGAAAAGGAGCAAUCCGCUUUGAGAUGGCCUCGCGUCCGAUUAGCUAGUUGGUGAGGUAACGGCCCACCAAGGCGACGAUCGGUAGCCGGACUGAGAGGUUGAACGGCCACAUUGGGACUGAGACACGGCCCAGACUCCUACGGGAGGCAGCAGUGGGGAAUAUUGCACAAUGGGGGAAACCCUGAUGCAGCGACGCCGCGUGGAGGAAGAAGGUCUUCGGAUUGUAAACUCCUGUUGUUGAGGAAGAUAAUGACGGUACUCAACAAGGAAGUGACGGCUAACUACGUG